AUGGACUGGAGUGUUGUGGUAUUACUUGUGGAUUAUUGUGUUACUCAUUUUGACGGCACCCAUUCACAUCCAUUGGUGAGCAAGAGAUGUAAUGCUACAUUUCUCCAAAUCUGUUCCAGUGAAGAAACAAACUCAACUAUAUCUAAUCAUCUACAAUUACAUGGGAACUGUUGGUGUAAUUAUGGCUCACACUCCUAGACUCGGGGGCAGAACGUUUGUUGAGACCAAAAUGAACACGGAUUGGUAAGAAAAUUUAGUAAUUUGACCUUCUAUAGCCUUCUACAAGUCUGUGUUUUACAGUCAACAUAUGACUUUUUGCCCUGGUUAAAGAAAGGAAAAGCACAAGGUGACAUACUGUAAAUCUUAUGGAUAGUAGCCUACUGUGUAAAGAAAGACGUAAAACGUCAGAAGAUGCUAACUUUGGAAUGACACACAAAACUGUCAAAUAUUAUUCCCACUUUGUAAUAUUACCCUUAUAGCCUAUGUAGUAAUCAUUAUAAACACAAGUUGUAAUUGCUGUGUCACACAUUUAUUGUUAUACGUUUAUCUGAAUCUGUUCAUCCUUCUGUUAAUCUGAAUAAUCUGUUAAUCUGAAACUCAUUUAUGGCUGAUAACAGAAUACCUUCUUAUUGUAUCAGUGAAGCAAGCGUUUUCACUAAAGCUGCUUUGAAACAGUAUAUAUUGUGAAAUUUACGAAUUAACUUAAAUUAGCCUAGCUAAUUAGAUUGUGUGUGUGUGUGUGUGUGUGUGUGUGUGUGUAUACAUUACCCCACAUGUCAAGAAACAUCUUUACCUUAAUUCCUGAAGCUACAUUCCUAAUACAUUUAAGACAAAAAUGUAGAUAUUUUUAUUUUUAAUAUUAUUAUUAUUAUUUUUAUUUAUUUUUUUUACCUCAAAAUCACUCUGUAUAUUUUAAUCAGGCAGAGAGUGAGCAUGCUCUCAAUAACCGUCAUCACUCUAGAAGAAAUUUGGUGUCACAAUUGCCCCCUGUUCCAAUAGCCACCAGUUACAAUGGCCAUCAGAGGAGUGAAUAUAAACUUCAACAUUCUGUCAUUGCAUACAGUCUUGCAUAUCAGUCAUUUCUGUGUUUAUACACAGUGCAAUGCUGUAUAAUUCAGCAGUUAAAUAUUGAUGUCCUGUACUGUGGCCCUAAUGAGCACUGCAGUGAAAAAUCGUUUGGAUUGCAUUCCUUCACAAUAUUUUUGGUCUAAAUAUAGGAUGUAAUGAUUUUUCUAGAUAGUAUCUGUUUCCACUGCAGCUGUGCAAUAGAAUCAUGUUCCUCAUAAGAACAAUUUAUCAUCAUUACCAGAGAUCUUUGGGGUGUGGUAGAUUUCUGAAACAUUAAUGUGAAAAGACUGACACCAGAAAGGGAGAAGAAGAGAAACAACAAGAGUUUGUCUGUGUGCUGGAAAAAAUAAGACAAGUGGGGAAAAAAAGUAUAUUUCAAUGAUUUUAUGUUUGCAUUCAAAUCUUUUCAGUUCUCUUAACAGAUAUUUUAGGCGUGAUUUAUGUUCCGAAAGUGUGUAAAUAAUUUUAGAGCUACUGUAUGCAGUGGCGGAGCUAGACUUUUUUAUACAUGGGGUGGCCAGGGGGUGGCCAAGGCUAAUUCAGGGGGUCCAUACACCAUGACAGAAAAUAAGUGUAUAACUCCAACCUGGCUAACAAAAAAAAAACGCAUGAAUAAAUCCUAUGAUUGCUGAUUACUUCA
ensembl:lncRNA